rnacentral:tRNA from 9 species
GCCGGCCUAGCUCAAUUGGUAGAGCAACUGACUUGUAAUCAGUAGGUUGGGGGUUCAAGUCCUCUGGCCGGCAC